ACCCACGAGUGUUUUAAUAUUCUUUGUCCUCAGUAGGUGGCGAGACUUUCGCCGCGUUAGUUAUUGAUUUCCUUUUAUAGGCGUAGUGUGACGGUAUUCCGGAGAGGACUUACUUUCAUUUCCCAAUAACACGAGGUCUAAGUGGAGUGGUUUGGGUCGAGGCGCACACAAGUUACAGAGCUCUCGAAAAUGUAGCAUCAGAAAGUGUUGUCAGAAGGAGCAGAUUAGGACAGCAGACUAACACAGAUUAUCAAUCGCACUCUGGGAAGUACAGAUUACCUCUAGCAGCAGUCCACCCGUGGAGGAAUUAUGCGUUUUUUCCUGCUCUCCGCGUUUUUUGUGGUGUCCGCAGGUGAAGGCAUUCCUGUCACUGUCAAAGGCUUUGAGAAAGACGAUGUGCUCCUGCCAUGUGAUUGCCCUAAAAGAGAUUUGAAUAAGGAAUUCAAAUGGCAAGUGGAAGAAGAUGAGAAGAGAGGGGCAAAAUUGAUCUUCAGAUAUAACGGGACCUCACAUUUUAGAGGAAACCUGUCCCACCGAUAUGAAACAUUUUUUCAUAACGACAGCAGUAAUUGUUCUAUUCUAUUAAAAAACAUCACAAAAGAAGACCAGGGAAAAUACAGUUGUCGUUUUUAUUCUCCACCAUACAGACGUUUUUUUGUGAAUCUCACGCUUUGUGGGACACAUAUUUCUCAGCACAGGGAGACUCUUCCAAAUGGUGGAGACGUUUACCAAUGUGUUGUAAAGCUUGACUGCUACAAAGAGCCUAACAUUCAGUGGACUUUGAACAAUGGAAGGUGUCUGUCAAAUUCAACCACGACUAACAUCUCUACCACAUACAGCCUGGAUGAAGAAACUGGCCUCCACUAUUCUCACAGUAGACUUGAGACUAAAGACAGCUUCCCCUCACAGCCUAAAUGUGAACUCAGUCCUCUGUGCGAACCUGAGAGUGAACCAAUAAUUUCAAAUUCAGAUACCAAGCCAAACCCCUAUUUCAGGAUAUUAUGUAAAGGGCUCCCCGUAGUGUUGGUGCUUGGAUUUUUGCUGAUUUGGUGCCGUCGUGGAACGUCUCACAGAUUUAUCAGGGAUGAAGAUGUGUAAAAUGGGUGUAAAAGGGUGACUUCUCUCAGACGAGCUCCAAAGUGAAAAUGGGAAAGUACUUUCUUCUGAGCCAAAGGAGGUGAUUACUCACUGCUGAUGCAAUACUGGCUGUUUGCAAAAUCUAGUUUUCAUCUUUUGUUCCUGCUCAUGGAAACUACAUCUAUUUUUGGAAGCUAAAGGAGGAGGAGACUAUUCCAUUCAUCAGAUUUUCUUGUCGAGAGUAAACUCUGAAUUAUAUAUACCAGAUGCUAAGUGCCAUAUUUACAUAUUUUAUAUUACUACUUUAUAUGUACCAUAACCAGUUUACUCAACAUUAUUCUGACAUUGCUGCACUAAUCGGUUAUGGGCUUUAUUUUCCCUAAAUCUAAUAUUUGUACCAAAAUAUUUUCUCGUUGUUUAUCUCAAUGUACUUAAAUACUAACUUGUUAUGUAUGAAAUGUAUAUAUUUUAUUACCAAACUCAAUUUUCUGUGUAAAGGCUUCUUUUCUUUGAUGUCAUGGAAAAAUGUAAUUUGUUCUUCUGUAACUGUCUUUUUGGUACAUGGAGCACUGUGAAUUAUUUUUUAAUACUUGUUUUUUUUUUUCACUUUUGUAAAUAAGUAGGUUUAGGGUAAUGUGUAUAAUGUAUAGUUAAUAGAAAAAAAACAUUCAGGUGCCAUGCAAGAAAUAAGUAAAUGAUGUUGCUUAACUCAACUGUGAAACAUCACUGUACUAAGUAGCCGUGCAGCUCUGGGCCUUUUUGGGGAAUUAGGUCAGCAGCCUUGAAACUGCGAUCGCAGUCAGGACAGUACGCCAAAAUUUGAAGAAUGGAGAAGUGUAAUGAAAUGUGAAUGUGUGGCCUUUUUCAGCACCAAAAAGAAAAGUGUAUAAAAAAGAGUCAAACAAACAUUUUGGUCUUGUUUUUUACAAAGCUGUUGAGAAUGUUUGUUUCUGUUUAACACCCUGUAUCCUGAUAUUGUAACGUAUGAUUUUUAAUGUCAAUUCUAACAUGUUUAAUAACCACAUACAAUAAGGUUAAAGCAUUGUUCACACAAUACUGACAAUAGAAACUGAGUGUGAUUUACAUCCACACAAUCUACCCAAGAUCUGGUCAGAUAUUUUCCAACACCUUUCUAUAUUUUUCAAGAUUGAUUUGUAAAAUGGAAUUCAGCAAUAAAGUUUUU